rnacentral:rRNA from 1 species
GUCGAGCGAGCUUGCCUAGAUGAAUUUGGUGCUUGCACCAGAUGAAACUAGAUACAAGCGAGCGGCGGACGGGUGAGUAACACGUGGGUAACCUGCCCAAGAGACUGGGAUAACACCUGGAAACAGAUGCUAAUACCGGAUAACAACACUAGACGCAUGUCUAGAGUUUAAAAGAUGGUUCUGCUAUCACUCUUGGAUGGACCUGCGGUGCAUUAGCUAGUUGGUAAGGUAACGGCUUACCAAGGCAAUGAUGCAUAGCCGAGUUGAGAGACUGAUCGGCCACAUUGGGACUGAGACACGGCCCAAACUCCUACGGGAGGCAGCAGUAGGGAAUCUUCCACAAUGGACGCAAGUCUGAUGGAGCAACGCCGCGUGAGUGAAGAAGGGUUUCGGCUCGUAAAGCUCUGUUGGUAGUGAAGAAAGAUAGAGGUAGUAACUGGCCUUUAUUUGACGGUAAUUACUUAGAAAGUCACGGCUAACUACGUGCCAGCAGCCGCGGUAAUACGUAGGUGGCAAGCGUUGUCCGGAUUUAUUGGGCGUAAAGCGAGUGCAGGCGGUUCAAUAAGUCUGAUGUGAAAGCCUUCGGCUCAACCGGAGAAUUGCAUCAGAAACUGUUGAACUUGAGUGCAGAAGAGGAGAGUGGAACUCCAUGUGUAGCGGUGGAAUGCGUAGAUAUAUGGAAGAACACCAGUGGCGAAGGCGGCUCUCUGGUCUGCAACUGACGCUGAGGCUCGAAAGCAUGGGUAGCGAACAGGAUUAGAUACCCUGGUAGUCCAUGCCGUANACGAUGAGUGCUAAGUGUUGGGAG